UACAGAGGGUGCGAGCGUUAAUCGGAAUUACUGGGCGUAAAGCGUGCGUAGACGGUUAUUUAAGUCGGGUGUGAAAGCCCCGGGCUCAACCUGGGAAUUGCAUUCGAGACUGAAUAGCUAGGGUACGGUAGAGGGAAGCGGAAUUUCCGGUGUAGCGGUGAAAUGCGUAGAUAUCGGAAGGAACAUCAGUGGCGAAAGCGGCUUCCUGGACCAGUACCGACGUUCAGGCACAAAAGCGUGGGGAGCAAACAGG
rnacentral:rRNA from 1 species